rnacentral:rRNA from 1 species
UACAGGGGGUGCAAACGUUGCUCGGAAUCAUUGGGCGUAAAGCGCACGUAGGCGGUUCGUUAUGUCGGAAUGUGAAAGGCCCUUGGCUUAACCGAGGAAGUGCAUCCGAAACUGGGCGAGCUAGAGUAACGAAAGAGGAUCGCGGAAAUUCCCGGUGUAGAGGUGAAAUUCGUAGAUAUCGGGAGGAACACCGGUGGCGAAGGCGGCGACUCUGGGUCGAUACUGAACGCUGAGGUGGCGAAAGCGUGGGGAGCAAACAGG